rnacentral:rRNA from 1 species
AUUGAACGCUGGCGGCAGGCUUAACACAUGCAAGUCGAGCGGGGUGAUGGUGCUUGCACUAUCACUUAGCGGCGGACGGGUGAGUAAUGCUUAGGAAUCUGCCUGUUAGUGGGGGACAACAUCUCGAAAGGGAUGCUAAUACCGCAUACGUCCUACGGGAGAAAGCAGGGGAUCUUCGGACCUUGCGCUAAUAGAUGAGCCUAAGUCGGAUUAGCUAGUUGGUGGGGUAAAAGGCCUACCAAGGCGACGAUCUGUAGCGGGUCUGAGAGGAUGUACCACCCAACUGGGACUGGAACACGGCCCAGACUCCUACGGGAGGCAGCAGUGGGGAAUAUUGGACAAUGGGGGGAACCCUGAUCCAGCCAUGCCGCGUGUGUGAAGAAGGCCUUAUGGUUGUAAAGCACUUUAAGCGAGGAGGAGGCUACUUUAGUUAAUACCUAGAGAUAGUGGACGUUACUCGCAGAAUAAGCACCGGCUAACUCUGUGCCAGCCGCCGCCGUAA